UGCGUAGGUCUCUCUAUUCUUAAGCCGAACUAUUCUUUUCACUUGACGACAUCUCUCCUCAGACCCAUCGCCGUCGCCGAGCUCUCCUGCCUCCCCUUGUCGAUCGUCCACCGCGUGUGCCUGAGAAAAAGAAAACUCCUUCUGCUCUCCGAGAAAAUGAAAGAGUCGGGUUUUUUAAUACCUCAAGAAAUCCCUAACCACAGCUGGAUAAAGAGACGACUGGAAGCUGCACCCAACCGAUUUGGAAUCAACCCUGGAAGGCAUUGGGACACAGUCGAUCGCAGUAACGGAUAUGAGAGACAGAUGUUCAAGAGGAUGAACGAGAAAAGAGCCACCGAAAGGGAAGCUUACCUUUCGUCAGUUUGAUGCAUCUCAUCUCGUCCGCCAGACCUCCACCACCUCGAAUAAAACUGGAAUGACCCAGUCUUCCAUUUGUAUACGAGUUGAACUCUGCUUUUGCUUGGUUUUCUUUCCUGUAGGAUCAUGUGAGAGAUCCGUUUGUUUCUCUCCUUUAUCAUUUCAUAUAAUUUUCUGAUAAACCCCUUAUAUUAAUCUUUUGCUUCUGAU